rnacentral:rRNA from 1 species
AUUGAACGCUGGCGGCAGGCCUAACACAUGCCAGUCGAACGGUAACAGGAAACAGCUUGCUGUUUCGCUGACGAGUGGCGGACGGGUGAGUAAUGUCUGGGAAACUGCCUGAUGGAGGGGGAUAACUACUGGAAACGGUAGCUAAUACCGCAUAACGUCGCAAGACCAAAGAGGGGGACCCUCGGGCCUCUUGCCAUCGGAUGUGCCCAGAUGGGAUUAGCUUGUUGGUGGGGUAACGGCUCACCAAGGGGACGAUCCCUAGCUGGUCUGAGGGGAUGACCAGCCACACUGGAACUGAGACACGGUCCAGACUCCUACGGGAGGCAGCAGUGGGGAAUAUUGCACAAUGGGCGCAAGCCUGAUGCAGCCAUGCCGCGUGUAUGAAGAAGGCCUUCGGGUUGUAAAGUACUUUCAGCGGGGAGGAAGGGAGUAAAGUUAAUACCUUUGCUCAUUGACGUUACCCGCAGAAGAAGCACCGGCUAACUCCGUG